GACGAACGCUGGCGGCGUGCCUAAUACAUGCGAGUAGAACGCUGAAGGAGGAGCUUGCUUCUCUGGAUGAGUUGCGAACGGGUGAGUAACGCGUAGGUAACCUGCCUGGUAGCGGGGGAUAACUAUUGGAAACGAUAGCUAAUACCGCAUAAUAGUAGAUGUUGCAUGACAUUUGCUUAAAAGGUGCAAUUGCAUCACUACCAGAUGGACCUGCGUUGUCUUAGCUAGUUGGUGGGGUAACGGCUCACCAAGGCGACGAUACAUAGCCGACCUGAGAGGGUGAUCGGCCAAACUGGGACUGAGACACGGCCCAGACUCCUACGGGAGGGAGCAGUAGGGAAACUUCGGCAAUGGACGGAAGUCUGACCGAGCAACGCCGCGUGAGUGAAGAAGGUUUUCGGAUCGUAAAGCUCUGGUGUAAGAGAAGAACGAGUGUGAGAGUGGAAAGUUCACACUGUGACGGUAUCUUACCAGAAAGGGACGGCUAACUACGUG
rnacentral:rRNA from 1 species